CGUCCGCAAGGAGCUCUCACCACGAGAUGAGUCCGCGUCCCAUCAGCUAGUUGGCGGUGUAAUGGACCACCAAGGCUUAGACGGGUAGCUGGUCUGAGAGGAUGACCAGCCACACUGGGACUGAGACACGGCCCAGACUCCUACGGGAGGCAGCAGUGGGGAAUAUUGGACAAUGGGCGAAAGCCUGAUCCAGCCAUGCCGCGUGAGUGAUGAAGGCCUUCGGGUCGUAAAGCUCUGUGGGGAGGGACGAAAAAGCGUGACCUAAUACGUCUCGCCUUGACGGUACCUCCUUAGCAAGCACCGGCUAACUCCGUGCCAGCAGCCGCGGUAAUACGGGGGGGGCAAGCGUUGUUCGGAAUUACUGGGCGUAAAAGGGCUCGUAGGCGGCCAACUAAGUCAUACGUGAAAUCCCUCGGCUUAACCGGGGAACUGCGUCUGAUACUGGAUGGCUUGAGUUCGGGAGAGGGAUGCGGAAUUCCAGGUGUAGCGGUGAAAUGCGUAGAUAUCUGGAGGAACACCGGUG
rnacentral:rRNA from 1 species